GUAGCGUGAAUUUCCGGUUCGGUGUAAUGCCGUUCCGGUUAGCCGCUAGUAGCGUGAAUUUCCGGUUCGGUGUAAUGCCCGGAACGGUUAGCCGCUAUCAAUGUUGCCUUUCCUGCUCAUAACCCUGUCGUUGCGCACUGGUGCGACGAUGUUAAUGAAACUUUGACCUCAAAUCAGGUAGGACUACCCGCUGAACUUAA
rnacentral:misc_RNA from 1 species